CUACGGGAGGCAGCAGUGGGGAAUUUGGACAAUGGGCGCAAGCCUGAUCCAGCCAUGUCCGCGUGAGUGAAGAAGGCCUUCGGGUGUAAAGCUCUUCGCAGAGAGAAGAAAACGUUACUUCUAAUAUAAGAGUGAGG
rnacentral:rRNA from 1 species